UACGAAGGGGGCUAGCGUUGCUCGGAAUCACUGGGCGUAAAGGGUGCGUAGGCGGGUCUUUAAGUCAGGGGUGAAAUCCUGGAGCUCAACUCCAGAACUCGCCUUUGAUACUGAAGAUCUUGAGUUCGGGAGAGGUGAGUGGAACUCCUAGUGUAGAGGUGGAAUUCGUAGAUAUUAGGAAGAACACCAGUGGCGAAGGCGGACUCACUG
rnacentral:rRNA from 1 species